UUCGUGCGAGCGGGGGCGGGGCCACGCGCCGCUCUCCGUCUGUCUCCAAGGCUCGGGCCGGAUGAAUGGAGGGGCGGGCCAAUGAGGACGGACGGCUGGCAGAACUCAGCCAAUGAGAACCUUGCCCGCGAGCAGGGGAGGCGGGUUGCCGGGAACGACAGCGGGGUUAGCCAAUGUGUGGGGUGACUGGAGGUGGUGGCCGCUUUCCCGCGCGUUCUCUGCGGGGAGUAGUCUCUGAGUUGCGUUCUGGGCGGAAGUGGCGGUGGGCGUCGCCCGCGCGCGCGCCUUCUCGCGAUCCUGUGGCUCUCAGGGGCGUCCUAGCGCCGAGACUAGGGGAAGCGGUCGACCUUCUCAGGACGGGCCCCGCAGGGAUGUUCCUGUCUUUUCCUUCUCCCGCGUCCGGCAUCAGCCUUUGUCCCCUCGCCGCCCUCUCCGAAGCCGCAGGCGCCCUCUUCCCGGCGCUCCCGCGCGGGGUUCGUGCGUGCGCGCAGGGCAGGGACGUGGGGCAAGCGGAGGGGAGGGGGAGCGCCCGCACCGCCGGUUGGGACCCCACAGAUUCCCGUGGGGGCUUCCUCAUGAAGUCCGGGUGGUCCCGGUGCGGGCGGGGGUGGCGGAGAGGAGGGCACCCUGCAACCCCGAGUCCGGCUCCAGAGCAGGUUCCCGCCGCGCCCGGGCGCCCUCCCCGCGCCCCCGGCCCACCCCCAGCGCUCACCUGCAGAUCCCGGUUCUCCCUGCGCCCUCGGUGACUCCCUUGCUCUCCGAGCUCAACUGAGAUCUUGGCCGUUCCCCCACCCCCACCCCCAGCGCUCACCUGCAGACCCUGGCCUUCCAACACGCCGGGGGGAACGGGGGGAACGCAAACUCGCGCAGCUCUGAGCGCUGGCUCGGGCGGUGCGGCCCGUGGGGACGCCUGACCCCGAGCCCUCGCUCCCUGGCUGCGUGGUCCGCGCAGGGCACCGCGUAUGCCCACGCCUGUGUGGUCAUUAAAUCUGCCCGCAAGAGUGCCCACCGCGCAGCGUUGGGGUGAGCGCUCAUUCAGCAACCUAGGAGGAAGCGUCCUGUUCCUAGCACGGGGUCAUGUCCGAUACACGGUCACUUGGGUCACUUCUUUCCUUAACCGCCAGUUCAUUCCGUCGCCCCUCCGCUUUCAAGUCCUUGAUUCAGAGUGGAGGACAGUGCAGUUAGGGUGACAGACACUGACGCUCAUCACAAACAGUAGUGAUCCGCCUCCCCAUCUCUGCAUCCUGUUUAGAGCUGGGAGAACUAGAUGGAGAUUGAGGCCCACAGACAGAAGAAAAUCAGUAAUGUCACCAGGAGCCACCCACAGUGAACCCCAUGAAGGCAAAUCCCCACGUCCAAGUCUGUUUCCUGGGACACCUGACUCCACACAAUGGCUCUUCUUCGCAAAAUUGUAAUUUUUUGAGUCAACAAUACAUUUACACGGACAGGGUCCUCCUAUACCAGACAUCCAUUUCCCCAAUGUUGCCAGGGAAAUGACCGUGUUUUAGCCUCUCGAGUAGAAAGCCUUCAUGAUUACAUGAUUACUACACAGAU